CCGCCAUUUCAUUUUUCUAGUAAUAACACAAGGUCACAAUACAAGUAGCUUUGCUACUUCGAAUCCUUAACACCAUCCCAAAGAAGAUCUAACUACUUGCAUAAGCACUAAUCCAUCCACUAGAACAUAAAUAAACUUCUCAAGAUUUUUACAAUCUAAAUCAACAAUUAGCUGUACUGGAACUUGUACUUCCCUUUCUUAAUAUGGCUACAACUUACAAAAGAAAAUGCAACACCGAAUUAAUUUGUAACCAACUAGACAUAUGAAGAGUAACCAUUUGAACUGAAGUUGAAAUUCAAGUGUUAAGCAGCAGAUGUCCACAAACACGUGAAAAAGUUCAGUUCAACUUUAUACAGUAAUAUGAAGAAAGCCGAGAAAUUAAUGUCUCCAUAUAGUCAACAACAUCUUUAGCUUUUGACCCAUCCAUGUUCAAGCCUUGCAAUUUAAUGGAAGCUGCAAGUUCAACAAAAUUAAAGUACAAAUCAGCAUACUUUGCCUAAAAAUAUUAGCAAAAUAUUCCGACUUCAAAAUGCUCAUUAGUAAAGAUAUCAAGUUCUGAACCUAACAGAAGAAAGUACCACUGUCAAUAUUUAACAAUGAAGAAUAAAGAAGAGCUAUGGAAGUAGACUUGUUGCUAGUUUCAAAAUCUAGCAGCCGAAUACUUCCAGAAACACAAAAUAUAGAUCACAAAAGGAUAGCAUAGAAAGGGAUUGGAACCAAGAUCUAUCAAAGCAAUCUGUACCGUUCCAUUCACAACAGGAACACAUUUGAAGCACUUCCUACAAACUGUAAAAAUAAGCUAUAUUGGGACUGAAUCUAAAAAGUCCAUCCAUUUAAAUCAUCUCAAUUUAGUGACACUAAAAACAGUUGUAAGGUUUUUACUAAAGCAAUCUCGCAACUAUACCUCUACAGAAAAAGUUUAGAAAAUUUUAUAGAUGUGCACGACUCUGUAUCCAAGGAACACACAAGAGUUGAAAGGACACUUGACCUUUACUUCCUAACAAGCUCUUCAAAUAAAUUAUACAUCUCAUCGACUGCUCCUAUCAUCCUUCUUGUCCCUCCCAUUUCUGUCCCCUUUGUUAUUCCUGUCAUCCUUGGUACUCGUUUGAGGAGUGUACUGACUAGUAGAUGAUGGUGAGUACCCAGGUGCACUAGGCGAAUACCCAGCACUAGGGCUAUAUUGUGGGGAACUUGGGCUAUAAUCUGGGCUGACUCCAGAAUUAUAUGGGCUGCUAGGACUAUAUGUUGGGCUUGAAGGGGAAUAUGAUGGAGAGGUUGGAGAAUAUGAUGGUGAUGUUGGGCUAUAAUUUGGAGAUGUAGGGCUGUAAGGACUUGAUGGUGACAAUCUUGGACUGCUUGGUGAGUAUGCUAGUGACGGACUGUAUUUAGCUGAUUGAGGAUUGUAACUGGGUGAGGUCGGGCUAUAGCUUGGCGAUGUUGGGCUGUAGCUUGGUGAGGUUGGACUGUAACCGGGGGAAGUGGGGCUAUAAGCAGGUGAAGUUGGGCUGUAUGAUGGAGAUGUGGGGCUGUAAGAAGGAGAGGUUGGGCUAUAGGAAGGUGAUGUUGGGCUAUAGGAAGGAGAAGUUGGGCUGUAUGAAGGUGAGGUAGGACUGUAUGCAGGCGAAGUGGGACUAUACGCCGGUGAAGUGGGACUGUAUACUGGAGAUGUAGGGCUAUAGCUUGGUGAAGUUGGACUGUAACUGGGAGAUGUGGGGCUAUAACUUGGAGAGGUUGGGCUAUAACUUGGAGAUGUCGGGCUGUAGCUGGGAGAUGUUGGGCUGUAACUAGGGGAAGUUGGGGAAUAUGAUGGACUUGUAGGAGAAUAGGCAGGACUGGUAGGGCUAUAGCCAGGAGAGCUAGGACUAUAGGUUGGCGAAGUUGGGCUGUAUCCAGGUGAGGUAGGGCUGUAACCAGGUGAGGUAGGGCUGUAUCCAGGAGAGGUAGGACUAUAACCAGGGGAAGAUGGACUGUAGCCUGGAGAUGAUGGACUGUAGCCUGGAGAUGAAGUAGGAGAGAAAGCCAUUCCACCAACAUAUGGUGAGAACUGAGCAUCUGUAAUGGGUGAAAGGCGUAGACUUGGGCUCAGCAAAUAACUUGGAGACAUCAUGCCCUCAUGGUAAGGCGUUCCUGAGACUGGGGAACGAGCAGGAGUCAUGCCAAAAUCCAGGCCAUCCAUAUAACUUGGGAGCUGAAGUUCAAUAGCAUUCUUCAGCAUCUCAUCAUUGAGGUACAAGGCACAGUCUCCUGUGCCAAUUGGAGCAAGCUGACCAAGCAUAAUAUUUUCAGUCACCCCCCUCAAGUAAUCUGUUUCAGCAUACACAGCAGCAUCAAGAAGAAUGUCAACGGUCUCUUCAAAUGAGCAUCUCAUUAAUGGCCCAGUGUCAUUCCGAUUGAUACCAUGGCGGGUGAUUGCCAUCAAAUGGCCACGAUAGGUCAUCGUGUCACACAGUAUAGCCAGAUGCCUGUAAUUUACAUAAGAUCCAUCAAAAGAAAUAACCACCCUCAACUCAUCCAGUAGGGAACGACGAACUGCCUCGAUACCAAGAACUUCAAUAACUUCAAUCAAAUGAUUGCUCGUUGUCCUCUUCGCAUCAACAUUCUCAUUACACAUAACAGCUAAGAGAUUGACCCCCUCUGUAUCAAGCAUCCAUUCCUCCAUUGUCUUAAAUCCAUCAUUUUCAUCAAACUUGCUUACUUUACCAUGUUUAAUGAACACCUUGUUUAUAUCUGGGAUACCUCGAAGAGCCAUUUCUGUCAGCAUGUUACUCUCAAUCUUCUUCAGGAAAACAUCAUCCUCAGCUGACUCAUCAUUCAACUCCCCCUUUGGAGCUUCAUCAUUCAUGAUACGUAUGCGCAGGAUUAGUUUUUCAGCAUUGUCAUCAUUAAAUAUACAUGUCAAAUCAUCAUCAAACUCAAGGUUGAUCUUCUCGGCAAUGUCAGCCAUGUUCAGCUUCUUAUCAACCAUCAUUUCACGGUUCAACUCUAUACGAAGCAACCAAGGAGAAAUUUUUUCCGGUGCAACCUCUUCAUCUGGCAUUUCAUAAUAGGACUUCACAAAAUCAACAUCCUCUUCAAUUAUGGUACUCAUGGGAUCUGGAUCAUACCAUACUUCAGUAGCUUGGGUAACACUCCGGAGAGUGGUGUAUUCUAAGGCACACUGAACACUCUUAGCCUUCUCUUUUGUUUUAUUACACUCAGGAACCAAGAAGACAGAAAGAGAAGGAGUUUUAAUUUUUUUAGCAACAUUAAUAAUUUCCCUUAGCCUGGGAACACCAAGAGUGACAUUCUUUGCACUAACACCAGCAUAGUGGAAGGUAUUCAGAGUCAUUUGGGUGGCAGGUUCUCCAAUUGACUGUGCAGCAACACAACCUAUCAUUUCUCCAGGGGCCACCAAUGACUGUAAGAACCGUGAUUCAAUCUCACCAAUAACCCAAUCAAAUGCUUCACGAGUGAGCCUGUAUUCUUCCAACACCCUUUUACUAGCAAGAGUGCUGCGAAGCAAAAUUCCAAAGAAAAGAGUGGCAUUCUUUUGGGCUUCCACACUCAACGGAUCCUCCCCGGGAACAACUUUCAAUCUCUCUUGCAACUUAUCAACAGCUUCUACUGCUUCCAUUGGAUGAAUGUCUGAUGGCCUUCUUGUAUCAACCUUGAAAGUUUUUUUGUGCAUUCCAAAUAAGCCUCAUGAGGUUAACAGGCAAUGGCCAUGAAUUAUCACCUGUGGUUGCAAUCUCUGUUCCAAGUUGGUAUCUAUCUGCUUCAAGUUUUUGAACUUCAGCAUCAAAAACAUCACGCAGUUCUCGGAUAUUUUUCAAAUCCUCAAUGUGAUCUGCCAUCAUGUAAGAAGGGUUCCAAUUUUCAUCAUCAAUUUCAUAUCUGAAGACCCUAUUAAAUUCUGAUUUCUUCAUUUUUAGAGAAUCCAGCUUCUGUGAUUCUAUCCAGACAGAAUCCAUACCAUCUUCCCCAUAGAGAAACUGAAUAACAUCCCCUAGUGAAUUCCUAACAGUGCCAUCAUAUUUAACCAUGAUAUCCUCCAUGGCCUUCACUAGCCGCCUCUGGAUGUACCCAGUCUCAGAAGUCUUCACUGCAGUAUCUAUAAGACCUUCCCUACCACCCAUAGCAUGAAAGAAGAACUCCUGGGGGGUCAACCCACGCAGAUAUGAGUUCUCCACAAACCCACGACUUUCUGGCCCAUAGUCAUCCUUGGUGAAGUGGGGCAAAGUCCGAUCUACAAAACCAUAUGGUAUACGCUUACCCUCAACAUUUUGCUGCCCCACACAAGCAGUCAUCUGUGAUAUGUUAAUGAAACUCCCCUUAGAUCCUGCAGUAACCAUGGCCUUGAGGUUGUUACUCUCAGAUAAACUCUUUUGGGCACUGCUUCCCGCAUCAUCACGAGCUUUGUUCAAUACCUGGUUCACUUUGUUUUCAAAUGAUUCCAUCAUAGUCCGUCCAGGUUCAGCCUCUAGCUCCUUGUUUUGGGCCUUCGUAAUAAGAUCCUUCACUUCAUUUUUUGCAAGUGAAAUAGUUUCAUUGAUUUUCUCCAUAGUUGCUGCAUCAGCGAUUGUAUCUCCAAUACCGAUGCUAAAACCAUUUUGCAAAAGCCAGUAAUUCACAAGCCACUGCGUAUGCCCCAAAAAUUUGCGAGCUGAAUCAGGACCAACCUCUUCCCAAAUGACAUGUAUAAGACUUCCAGUAGAAGUCCCAAGAGUUUUCUUGCAAAGAGUUCCAGAGAGCAGCUCCCCCCUUUCUAUUCGAACAAGAGUGUCCCCAGGAGUAAUAAUACCUCUUUCCGUAUCUGUGUGCCAGGCAGCAGUUCUGAUAAGAUUUAUCUGCUUUGGAAUGAUAAGAUUAAAAACUUGUUUUCCAGUCCAAAGCGGUCGUGGUUUCAGAAUUGCAGGAGCAGGAAUUUUCCCAUCAAAAUCCUCCCACCACAUCAAGAUGUUCAUAAAAACAUCCUUCUCUAUGAAGGUAUCCCUCUUGGUGAUCUUCCGGCAUCCUAAAAGUGUAUCCUGGACAAUUCCCAUCACAGGCCGAUUUGAUUGAGGCGACACAAUGCACUUAGGCACCAUCAUCAGCUCCAACACCUCUGCUCUGGUUUCAAAUGAUUGAGGAACAUGCAUGUUCAUUUCAUCACCAUCAAAAUCA
rnacentral:misc_RNA from 1 species